GACCUUGUAUAGCUUAGAAGGUAGAGCGUCGUUCUAGAAAUGCGAAGGUCGCUGGUUCAAUUCCCAGCCGUGGUCA